GACGAACGCUGGCGGCGUGCCUAAUACAUGCAAGUAGAACGCUGAAGGAAGGAGCUUGCUCUUUCCGGAUGAGUUGCGAACGGGUGAGUAACGCGUAGGUAACCUGCCUGGUAGCGGGGGAUAACUAUUGGAAACGAUAGCUAAUACCGCAUAACAGUAGAUGUUGCAUGAUAUCUACUUAAAAGGUGCAAUUGCACCACUACCAGAUGGACCUCCGUUGUAUUAGCUAGUUGGUGAGGUAACGGCUCACCAAGGCGACGAUACAUAGCCGACCUGAGAGGGUGAUCGGCCACACUGGGACUGAGACACGGCCCAGACUCCUACGGGAGGCAGCAGUAGGGAAUCUUCGGCAAUGGACGGAAGUCUGACCGAGCAACGCCGCGUGAGUGAAGAAGGUUUUCGGAUCGUAAAGCUCUGUUGUAAGAGAAGAACGAGUGUGAGAGUGGAAAGUUCACACUGUGACGGUAUCUUACCAGAAAGGGACGGCUAACUACGUG
rnacentral:rRNA from 1 species